rnacentral:piRNA from 1 species
UGAGAUCUGGUGCCUUCUGCUGGC